rnacentral:rRNA from 1 species
UUGUACACACCGCCCGUCACACCACGAGAGUUGUUUGCACCUGAAAUUACCGGCCUAACCGUAAGAGGGAGGUACUGAAGGUGUGGAUAGUGAUUGGGGUGAAGUCGUAACAAGGUAUCCGUACCGGAAGGUGCGGAUGGAUCACCUCCUUUCUA